CCAGUGGAGUGUUGUGUACAAUAUUUAAAUCCAGAAUGAGUCACUUUACAUAUUCAGCACAUGCUUCAGUGAUCUGAGAGUGUUUAUAGUGCUGUGAGUUUAACACUUCAUCAACACACAACACAAUCUUCAUCAUCACACAACACACAACAAUGAUAUUCAUCACCUUCUUCAUCUGGACUCUCACGGUGUUUGCUCGAGAGUGUGAUGGACAGAUCACAGUCACUCAGAGUCCCUCAAUAACAGCAGCUCAACCAGGACAAGAAGUUAAAAUAAACUGUAAAACCAGCAGUAACGUCUACUGGGAGAGUACUUAUGGCUCCCGCUUAGCCUGGUACUUACAGAAACCUGGAGAAACUCCUAAACUCCUCAUUUAUCUGGCCAACAGAGUGCAGUCUGGAACUCCAUCUAGAUUCAGUGGCAGUGGAUCUGAUAGUGAUUUCACUCUGACCAUCAGUGGAGUCCAGACUGAAGAUGCAGGACAUUAUUACUGUCAGAGUGAACACUACAUCAACAGUAAAUAUGUGUUCACACAGUGAUAAAGAGUCGUACAAAAACCUCUGUCAGUCACACUGCACUGAUACACUGACAGAUACUGCAGCUGCUCACACACACACACACACACACACACACACACACACACACACACACACACACCAUGUGGAGAAUCAAAAAGGACAUUUAAACAAGGAAUGAACACAUAUUUUGUUGAUCAGUAUUUUUAAAGAUAAUCAUUAGACAUCGUGUUGAUGUGAUCAUGAUUCUUCAGGAGUAAUUAAUGGUCUCAUGAUACUUUCUGUCCAUCAUUGAACUGAACACCUGAUUUCAGAUGCUGUGUUCAGUCAUUUCUGAACUUGAUUUGCUCAUCAGACAUUUUCCCAUCUCUGUUCAAUCAAUGACUCUGUUUCAAACCCUCCUGAGCUGCUUUGCUGUCUGUAG